UACGUAGGUGGCAAGCGUUAUCCGGAAUUAUUGGGCGUAAAGCGCGCGCAGGCGGUUCUUAAGUCUGAUGUGAAAGCCCACGGCUCAACCGUGGAGGGUCAUUGGAAACUGGGGAACUUGGGUGCAGAAGAGAAAAGCGGAAUUCCACGUGUAAGCGGUGAAAUGCGUAGAGAAUGUGGAGGAACACCAGUGGCGAAGGCGGCUUUUGGUCUGUAACGU
rnacentral:rRNA from 1 species